GUGGGGAAUAUUGGGCAAUGGGCGCAAGCCUGACCCAGCAACGCCGCGUGAGGGAAGAAGGUUUUCGGAUUGUAAACCUCUGUCCUGGGGGACGAAAAAAAUGACGGUACCCCGGGAGGAAGCCCCGGCUAACUACGUGCCAGCAGCCGCGGUAAUACGUAGGGGGCGAGCGUUGUCCGGAAUUACUGGGCGUAAAGGGUGCGUAGGCGGCAUGUUAAGUUGGAUGUGAAAUACCCGGGCUCAACCUGGGGGGUGCAUCCAAAACUGGCAAGCUAGAGUGCAGGAGAGGAAAGCGGAAUUCCUAGUGUAGCGGUGAAAUGCGUAGAUAUUAGGAGGAACACCAGUGGCGAAGGCGGCUUUCUGGACUGCAACUGACGCUGAUGCACGAAAGCGUGGGGAGCAAACAGGAUUAGAUACCCUUGUAGUCC
rnacentral:rRNA from 1 species